GUUGGUGUUGAUGACGCUGGAGACAUACCCGUUCCCAUCCCGAACACGGAAGUCAAGCCCAGUGGUGCCGAAGAUACUUAGCUGGAAGCGGCUUGGAAAAAUAGGAAGAUGCCAACU
rnacentral:rRNA from 1 species